rnacentral:rRNA from 1 species
AUGCAUGAUUUCCAUGGCAUAGCUUCCCAAGCAGUUGCAUCAAAAGAGUGCAUCAAACUAGUAGAUGAUGCUUUGAGGAUUCUUAGGAAGCAAGUUGAAGAAAAAGCUCCUACUACUACAUGCACAACUGAAGAUAUAUCUAAAGAACCUGCGGAUUGUCUACAGGCCGCUUGCCUAAAGAAAAAAGAAAUUCCGAAGAAGAAUUCGAGACGAAAGAAAUCAUGGCUUGACAACCAGCACCCCAAUAAAAAGAAGGAGACAAAUAAAGUUGUACCAAAAAAUCAAACUCAUCCGAGAAGAGAGAAUGACAUUCCACUGGCACAAUACCAAUCACCUAAAGAGAAAAUGGCUGGAACAAGUGCAAAUGGAUUGCAAGAGUAUGGGCACUAUGCUCGUUUAUUGAUGGUAUUUCACUUAUCAUGUCUAAAAUUCCUUAAAUUCAGUGUUAGGCAAUAUGAUUUCUUGUCUAAUCAGUUAUGUCUCCCUUUAAUUUCAGAGUGA